UCCGGUUUGACCCCGGCAGUCUCCCAUGAGUCCCCGGCAUUACCCGCUGGCAACAUGGAACGAGGGUUGCGCUCGUUGCGGGACUUAACCCAACAUCUCACGACACGAGCUGACGACAACCAUGCACCACCUGUGUAGAGCCCCGAAGGACACCGUAUCUCUACGGCUUUUCUCUACAUGUCAAGCCUAGGUAAGGUUCUUCGCGUUGCCUCGGAUUAAACCACAUGCUCCGCUGCUUGUGCGGGCCCCCGUCAAUUCCUUUGAGUUUUAGCCUUGCGGCCGUACUCCCCAGGCGGGGCACUUAAUGCGUUAGCUUCGGCACGGAGGGAGUCGACACCCCCCACACCUAGUGCCCAUCGUUUACAGCGUGGACUAC
rnacentral:misc_RNA from 1 species